rnacentral:snRNA from 1 species
AUGAUACGCAGAUUUGUGAAGCGUUCCAUAUU